rnacentral:rRNA from 1 species
UGCAGUCGAACGGUGAAGGAGGAGCUUGCUCCUUUGGAUCAGUGGCGAACGGGUGAGUAACACGUGAGUAACCUGCCCCAGACUCUGGGAUAAGCACUGGAAACGGUGUCUAAUACCGGAUACGAGCUUCAGCCGCAUGGCUAGGAGCUGGAAAGAAUUUCGGUCUGGGAUGGACUCGCGGCCUAUCAGCUAGUUGGUGAGGUAAUGGCUCACCAAGGCGACGACGGGUAGCCGGCCUGAGAGGGUGACCGGCCACACUGGGACUGAGACACGGCCCAGACUCCUACGGGAGGCAGCAGUGGGGAAUAUUGCACAAUGGGCGCAAGCCUGAUGCAGCAACGCCGCGUGAGGGACGACGGCCUUCGGGUUGUAAACCUCUUUUAGUAGGGAAGAAGCGAAAGUGACGGUACCUGCAGAAAAAGCACCGGCUAACUACGUGCCAGCAGCCGCGGUAAUACGUAGGGUGCAAGCGUUAUCCGGAAUUAUUGGGCGUAAAGAGCUCGUAGGCGGUUUGUCGCGUCUGCUGUGAAAACUGGAGGCUCAACCUCCAGCCUGCAGUGGGUACGGGCAGACUAGAGUGCGGUAGGGGAGAUUGGAAUUCCUGGUGUAGCGGUGGAAUGCGCAGAUAUCAGGAGGAACACCGAUGGCGAAGGCAGAUCUCUGGGCCGUAACUGACGCUGAGGAGCGAAAGCAUGGGGAGCGAACAGGAUUAGAUACCCUGGUAGUCCAUGCCGUAAACGUUGGGAACUAGAUGUAGGGACCAUUCCACGGUUUCUGUGUCGCAGCUAACGCAUUAAGUUCCCCGCCUGGGGAGUACGGCCGCAAGGCUAAAACUCAAAGGAAUUGACGGGGGCCCGCACAAGCGGCGGAGCAUGCGGAUUAAUUCGAUGCAACGCGAAGAACCUUACCAAGGCUUGACAUAUACCGGAAAAGUUCAGAAAUGUUCUCCCCGCAAGGUCGGUAUACAGGUGGUGCAUGGUUGUCGUCAGCUCGUGUCGUGAGAUGUUGGGUUAAGUCCCGCAACGAGCGCAACCCUCGUUCUAUGUUGCCAGCACGUAAUGGUGGGAACUCAUAGGA